UUGAACGCUGGCGGCAUGCCUUACACAUGCAAGUCGAACGGCAGCACGGGAGCAAUCCUGGUGGCGAGUGGCGAACGGGUGAGUAAUGUAUCGGAACGUACCUUUCAGUGGGGGAUAACGUAGCGAAAGUUACGCUAAUACCGCAUAUUCUGUGAGCAGGAAAGCAGGGGAUCGCAAGACCUUGCGCUGAUUGAGCGGCCGAUAUCAGAUUAGCUAGUUGGUGAGGUAAAGGCUCACCAAGGCGACGAUCUGUAGCGGGUCUGAGAGGAUGAUCCGCCACACUGGAACUGAGACACGGUCCAGACUCCUACGGGAGGCAGCAGUGGGGAAUUUUGGACAAUGGGGGCAACCCUGAUCCAGCCAUGCCGCGUGAGUGAAGAAGGCCUUCGGGUUGUAAAGCUCUUUCGGCCGGGAAGAAAUCGCACGGGUUAAUACCCUGUGUGGAUGACGGUACCGGAAUAAGAAGCACCGGCUAACUACGU
rnacentral:rRNA from 1 species